rnacentral:snRNA from 1 species
UCCUUUGCACAGUGGCAGUAUUAUAGCCUAUGAGGUAACACUGAGGUGUGAUUGUUGUUAGUUGAAAACUUUUCCCAGUAUCCCUCCUGUAAGAAGCAUGGCUUUAACACUGCAAAACUUGCCCUGGUCAUUCAC